AGAAUUCUAUAAAUCAUAGUGACUUUUAACAUAAACCAAGCUAUACAUCACCAAGUAACAAUUACAUCAGUGCCCAAGAGAGAAUAUUCUUGUUAGGAAGUGGUAUGACAGAUUGGCAAUAAUCACUUAGAAAUGAAUUAAAUUGUGCAUUCCUAUUUCAUGUAAUUAUAUAUAGGAGGAUCUCACGAUAACACCAAUAUUCCAACACACGAAUUAAAUGGCAGUUGUUGCAAUCUUUACAACGUUAAUGGUGGUCUCUUUUCUGGUGUAUGUUAUGGCCCAAGAUUACUAUUCCCUCUCUUCCUUCAAUAGAAGGUUUCUUGAUAUUUCUAAGACCUGCAACCCACUAGAAACACAAAUGCUUGUUGUUGCAUUGCAUUCGAGAUGAUAAAUUUCAUGUGCAGAUAAUUAACUCGUCCACGGCCACCAAUCAAAAACUAUUCAAACGAAACCUGUGACCUUUCUUGCACAAUUCCAAAAACCACGUCUACAGCCACCAAUCAAAAAUCCCAGCACCAAUCUUUUUCUCAGGCUCCAACUGACCUUUCUUGAGCAAUUCCAACAUCACUAUGUGCUCAUACUGGGGAAAAAAGAAAGACAUAAACAACAUUAAGAUCAAGCCAAUUUCAUACUACAUAUUUAGAAUCAUAUGUUCAUUAUUGCACUUAAAUUAUGUUAGGAACAUGUUGUUGAAAACAACAAACUAAACACCAUCAUCGAAAACUCAAUUCCCAGCUUAUUUAUGAUACUACGAACCUAUGUCUAAAAUCUCCACAAAAUCUGAUUAUCCGGAAAGAGAUUCCUUCCCAUUGCCUAACAUGAUAUGUCAAUGGCAUAAUUGAGAAGAGUGAACAAAAGAACAAUGCCCAAACUGAGAGAUACAUAAGUUAGAUAGUGCUCGUUAACACCAUAUAUG
rnacentral:lncRNA from 1 species